rnacentral:rRNA from 1 species
UACGUAGGGGGCUAGCGUUGUCCGGAUUUAUUGGGCGUAAAGAGCGUGUAGGCGGCCAGGUAGGUCUGGUGUGAAAACUCGAGGCUUAACCUCGAGAUGUCAUCGGAAACCAUCUGGCUAGAGUCCGGAAGAGGAGAGUGGAAUUCCUGGUGUAGCGGUGAAAUGCGCAGAUAUCAGGAAGGACACCAAUGGCGAAAGCAGCUCUCUGGGACGGUACUGACGCUGAGACGCGAAAGCGUGGGGAGCGAACAGG